UUAUUGCAGUUAUACCCAACCGGUAUUUGCGAAAAAUGAACACAGAAGUGAAAGAUCUGUCACAAGACGAUUGAUACGUAUCCGUGCACAUUUUUAAGUGGGUAUACGCAAAUCCUGGUGCGUUCCUAGUGGGUAUACGGCAUAUACCUGCGUAUCACGUAGACUACACCACUGGCUGCAUCACGGAAAUCCCGGGCGGAAAGUGAGUCGCACUCGGGCCCUGAUUACGCUGGACAAGAAGGAGGGGACCCGGGUGAGGUGACUCAGAGGCGUCCUCACAGCUAAAUGUGUGUGGUCGUGCUCCUCUCAACACCAAGAUCGUUGGAGGAGUGGAUGCUGCUCCGGGCACCUGGCCCUGGCAGGCCAGUUUGCAGAGGCCCAGUUCUCCGCCCCACUUCUGUGGGGGGUCCC